AGAGUUGAUCUGGCUCAGGAUGAACGCUAGCGGCAGGCUAACACAUGCAAGUCGAGGGGUAACGGGGCGUAGCAAUACGCUGCCGACGACCGGCGCACGGGUGCGUAACGCGUAUGCAACCUACCUGUACAGGGGGAUAACGGAGAGAAAUUUCCACUAAUAUCCCAUGGUGUUGGAGAAUCGCAUGUUUCUCCGACUAAAGCUUCGGUGGUACAAGAUGGGCAUGCGUGACAUUAGCUAGUUGGCGGGGCAACGGCCCACCAAGGCGACGAUGUCUAGGGGAGCUGAGAGGCUUAUCCCCCACACUGGUACUGAGACACGGACCAGACUCCUACGGGAGGCAGCAGUGAGGAAUAUUGGUCAAUGGACGGAAGUCUGAACCAGCCAUGCCGCGGUGGAGGAAGAAGGUCCUAUGGGUUGUAAACUCCUUUUGUCCGAGAGUAAUAAGUGGGAUGCGUCCCGCGAUGAGAGUAUCGGGCGAAUAAGCAUCGGCUAACUCCGUGCCAGCCGCAGC
rnacentral:rRNA from 1 species